GGUGAUUUACAUAACACUGACUUUUCUGGCUUUUGUCUCCGGAAGGUGAUGGUUUCCUCACCAUCGUUCUCGCCGGCUCUCUGUCGGGGUUCUCCCGAUAUCAUGAUCUAUGAUUUUGGACCCUCUUGUUUUCCAGCCUCUCAAUUUGAUACUCCGAUGGUUUUUUCAUCUCCUAAUUGUUCGGUGUUGCAUCUUCGCGCUUAGAUAGAUUAUUAAAGAUGUAUGUAGCUGCAUACAAGUAAGUCGAAGGCUUGAAGAUCGAUUGUAGGCGGUUAAUCUCUUCGACGAUUCGUAGAUCCACCACAUCUGACUUCGCGACUCUAACUUUGCGUAGUCUAUUAUGGUUGAACGGCUUGUCUCGGUUUCAUCUUCCUUGUCGACGGUGAUCCGUUGUGUCUCCUUGCUGGCUCCGGAAGAAGAUGGCAGGCUUUCGUCAGUACUCAGUACACAUGCAUAAUGGUCACUGCAACCAGACACGUGAUGGGAUGAGUCAGAUUAUUUCUUUUGGGCUUAUGGCCUAAUGUCGUCUAAUGCAGUACUCCAUUUGUUUUGAGCUUGUUAUAAAGUUUUGUUCGUUUGUUGGGUCUUUGUGUACUUUCCAGUCGGACUUGGUCUUGUUAGACUAUGUUCCAUGAAUAAAAUAUCAGA
rnacentral:lncRNA from 1 species